rnacentral:lncRNA from 13 species
ACUUUCUCUGAAUUCUCUGCAGCUUCCACUAACGUUUUGAGGCUGCAUUCUUGUACCCAAAGACCUGCAGGUCUCAUCUAGUUUCUCUGUGCUCUCCUGCUAACGUAGCCUGAAGACCCCUUUUGGAGGAUACAAACAAAAACAACAAAAAAGGAAGGUUGUUGGCCCCAGCAAUUUCAUAGUAUCAUUCAUUUACCUAGAACUCUUCCUUUGGGGGUGAAUAAUCCAGAUUGUCUGACAGUUCCUAUAUAUUAUAUGCCAUUCAAUACAAACUGUAGCAGUUUAAUGAAGGAAGAUUUGUGUUGCGUAAUCUGAGCAAAUGUCCUCAAAGCCACAAGAAGCGUAGGGUUUAAAGGCAAGAAAUUUGGGAAAGUUUUAAAUGUGUUUCAUCCAGGUAAAUAGGACCACAGAUAUAAAAUUCAAAACACAUGCUCUAAAAAUAUCCACAUCUUCACAUGAAGCAUGCUCUCCUUGUGUAAUGAGGCGUGAAUUUUAGAUAGUUUUCAGAAAGAAUCUGAUUUCAUUCUUGGAGAAAAGCUAUUAAAUUCUAAGAUCUGUGUGUGAUCUCAGUCUCCUGACUAAAGCCUCAGGCAGUAAUAAUACAUCAAAAACAAAAUUGGCAUUGAGAAGAUUUAAAAUAAAGGGAAUAAUAAUCUCUUCCUUCCUAGAGGCAGGACUCUCAGGCUAGGAAUGGAGUCAUAGGAUUCACCUAGAAACGCCUGGUAUCCUUGGGAUGUCCUCUUAGGUAAACAAACAAACAUCCAAGUAUUUGUGAGAUUCGUACCACGUGCCAGAUUCUGUGUUGUGUGCCAAAGGCUUGGAAUAAAAUGAAGCCAAGCCCCAGCCCCUCAGUUAGUGAUGUUCUUAUUCAAGUGGUUUUGGUUUGGCUUCCUCAGACACUAUUCCAUGUUGCCUAAUAGUUAAAAAGCUCCAAUUUUAUAGUCAGUGCAUCUUUCUGUGGGUCCCCAGAGAAGGAAAGACAGUGAGGGAGUUACGAGCCAUCCCAUGUAAGAACCAGGAAGGACGCCUGGUUCAGCUCCCUCAUUCUAAGGCAGGGAUGGGACGAACAGAGAAACUAAGAGGUCUGUCCAAAUGACCUGUGGAAAGGUGGUGAGGCAGCCCCAUUCAAGCCUGGGCAGAAUUUCAUGCUGUGAGGCCACGGUGUGAUCCACAUGAGGACCUAGGUCAGAGGUGACAGGUUUGUGAGAGGGCCACUCUUCAGUGUGGCUUUUUAAUUUAUGAAAUUGAAGCCUACUUUGCUGAGUAAGCAACUCACUGGCUGCUGAAGCAGGGCUCCAGUGGCAUAGAAGGUACCUUCAUGACAAGUUAGAAAAAGGUACCACCUCCAGGCAUAUGACACAGGAGAGAGAUAUGCCUUUCAGUAAAACAGGGAAAUCUCCCUUCAUGCC